rnacentral:rRNA from 1 species
UGGGGAAUAUUGCACAAUGGGCGAAAGCCUGAUGCAGCCAUGCCGCGUGUGUGAAGAAGGCUCUAGGGUUGUAAAGCACUUUCAGUAGGGAGGAAAGGUUGAUGGUUAAUACCCAUCAGCUGUGACGUUACCUACAGAAGAAGCACCGGCUAACUCCGUGCCAGCAGCCGCGGUAAUACGGAGGGUGCAAGCGUUAAUCGGAAUUACUGGGCGUAAAGCGUGCGUAGGCGGCUACCUAAGUUGGAUGUGAAAGCCCCGGGCUCAACCUGGGAACUGCAUCCAAAACUGGGUGGCUAGAGUGCGAGAGAGGAGUGUGGAAUUUCCUGUGUAGCGGUGAAAUGCGUAGAUAUAGGAAGGAACACCAGUGGCGAAGGCGACACUCUGGCUUGACACUGACGCUGAGGUACGAAAGCGUGGGGAGCAAA